rnacentral:rRNA from 1 species
UACGGAGGAUGCGAGCGUUAUCCGGAUUUAUUGGGUUUAAAGGGUGCGUAGGCGGACUGUCAAGUCAGCGGUAAAAUUGAGAGGCUCAACCUCUUCCCGCCGUUGGAACUGGUGGUCUUGAGUGGAUGAGAAGUACGCGGAAUGCGUGGUGUAGCGGUGAAAUGCAUAGAUAUCACGCAGAACUCCGAUUGCGAAGGCAGCGUACCGGCAUCCAACUGACGCUGAGGCACGAAAGCGUGGGGAUCAAACAGG